CCUAGCUUCUUAUGCAUCUGCACAGCAGUGACUGGCAGGAGUGUGCAGGAAGGGACGUUCUCUAGCGGCUGGAAUCUGUUUGGGAGGCCCUUAGGGCUUGCCUUCAGGUUGGUCUGUCCUUCGUGUCUGAGUGUCUGACAGAUUUCUGGAGGAGCUUGGGGAAGGAUACAAAGAGAAGAUGGGACAAUCUGGACACAGCCACUUGCAUUGUUUAUCAUCUAUAAUUGCCCAUAAUCUACAUGUGUGACCUUAGUAUGGUGCAGGAAGGACAUCACUGAAUGUAGCUAAGGAAACCUUUGACAGCAUCCGAGGGCAAAUAAUCGCAGCCUGUAGAGGAAACGGUCUGAGCACUGCCCGUAGUACAGCAGUCCUUUGUCUCCUGGGGAUGAAGAAACCCUGGAGGACAGAGAUUGGGGAGGACCUGGCAUGGUGACGGUGCCCACGCUGGUUAGGUCACCUGAUGUCCUUGCACAGAUCCAAAGUCGGAUGUUUUCUGGUUUGAGGGUCACUCCACUGAUACAGGGAAUGAGGUCAUGGUCUGCAGGCUCCCCAGGCACUGAGUGGACUUGGAACACAGCGCUGUACUUUGGAGUAAAGCUGGUGUGGGAACCUCGGCCCUGAGUGAAGGAGAGGAUCUCUUGCUUCCAAGCAGGCCCUGGUUAAGCAGAUAAAAUCUUGGGAGGCCUAUUAAGGCUUAGAAUUCCACUAAUGAAGUGAGUCACCCCUUCCCAGGGACCAGCACCAGGCCAGCAUGACAUCGCAAUUUCAGCCGAGUGUCCCUGGCGACUUUCAGUGAUGGAGAUGGAGACUGCACACGAUUGCUGGAGAACACACACAGUUCCAGCUGCAGCAGGCCUGGUGGAGACAGACGGUGGCUGGCAAGAGUGGCACAGCCCAAGCCUGCAGCUCUGCCCCUCUGCACGGGCACCAUGUGGCUAGGAAUUUGUUUCUUGGUUGAGUAACAUUUUUGAUGAAAUAAGCAACAAAACGCAGGGCAUCAGAAUGACCGCUGCAGUAAUGAAACAAUUGAGAUGCCCACCAAAGACAGCUGGAAAUCGGACAACGAAGAUGGAGAAGACUUAACAGUUUUAAUAAACUGGAACCAAGUGACAACACGCGUAGUUCAGUUUUGCCGUGCUCUGGCCUGAGUUUGAAGCUGGAAUACUUGUAGCAGUUUGAGUAAGGAGUGUCUAGGAGUGGCUCUCUGAGUUUUUCCUGCUUGAAGUAGAAGAUUAGUAUUGUUUACAAUAUUCCACAAUUUGGGGCCGUUAUUUCAAGAAUUUUUCUGUGCCUGCUCUGCUCUCUGGAUUCCCCUCUUGUACAGUGUGCUGCUGUCUGAGAUCUUACCAUUGGAUUCUCUUCAUUUUUCUGCAUUCCUCAGACUUGGUAAUCUCUUCAAAUUCACCGAUUCUUCUUCCUGCUUAAAGCUGUUGUUGCACUGCUCUAGUAAAUUUCUCACUGCAAUUACUAGAGGUAAGUUUUUGUUUUUUGGGGUUUUGGUUUUUGGUGGUUUGGGUGGCACUGGGGAUUGAACCGGUGCUUGUUCAUGAUAGCCAGGCACUCUACCCUAAACUACAUCCCAGUCCUUUCUUAGUUGAUUUUUUUUUUUUUUUUUCGGUACCAGGGGUGGAACUCGGGCCCUUGCACUUGCGAGGCAGGCAACAGAACCACUGAGCUAAAUCCCCGGCCCUCUUAGUUUAAGACAGAGUCUCACAAAGUUGCCCAGGCUGUUCUCAAACUUCCGGUCUUUCCCAAGUAUCUGGGAUAACAGACAUGAACCACCACUGGGCCUGGCUGAAGACAGUUUUUGAGAUAUUUCAUUUCUCAAUUUCUUUUUUAAAAAUGAACAUUUUUUGACAAAUCUAG
ensembl:lncRNA